GACGAACGCUGGCGGCGUGCCUAAUACAUGCAAGUUGAGCGCUGAAGGUUGGUACUUGUACCAACUGGAUGAGCAGCGAACGGGUGAGUAACGCGUGGGGAAUCUGCCUUUGAGCGGGGGACAACAUUUGGAAACGAAUGCUAAUACCGCAUAAAAACUUUAAACACAAGUUUUAAGUUUGAAAGAUGCAAUUGCAUCACUCAAAGAUGAUCCCGCGUUGUAUUAGCUAGUUGGUGAGGUAAAGGCUCACCAAGGCGAUGAUACAUAGCCGACCUGAGAGGGUGGUCGGCCACAUUGGGACUGAGACACGGCCCAAACUCCUACGGGAGGCAGCAGUAGGGAAUCUUCGGCAAUGGACGAAAGUCUGACCGAGCAACGCCGCGUGAGUGAAGAAGGUUUUCGGAUCGUAAAACUCUGUUGGUAGAGAAGAACGUUGGUUAGAGUGGAAAGCUCAUCAAGUGACGGUAACUACCCAGAAAGGGACGGCUAACUACGUG
rnacentral:rRNA from 1 species